rnacentral:rRNA from 1 species
CAGUAGCCACGGGAAUACGGAGGGCGCGAGCGUUACCCGGAUUUACUGGGCGUAAAGGGCGUGUAGGCGGCCUGGGGCGUCCCAUGUGAAAGGCCACGGCUCGACCGUGGAGGAGCGUGGGAUACGCUCAGGCUAGAGGGUGGGAGAGGGUGGUGGAAUUCCCGGAGUAGCGGUGAAAUGCGCAGAUACCGGGAGGAACGCCGAUGGCGAAGGCAGCCACCUGGUCCACUUCUGACGCUGAGGCGCGAAAGCGUGGGGAGCAAACCGGAUUAGAUACCCGUGUAGUCCCUGUCUCUUAUAC